rnacentral:rRNA from 1 species
AGUCGAGCGAAGCACUUAUGAAGAUUCUUCGGAUGAAUUCAUUUGUGACUGAGCGGCGGACGGGUGAGUAACGCGUGGGUAACCUGCCUCAUACAGGGGGAUAACAGUUGGAAACGACUGCUAAUACCGCAUAAGCGCACAGUACCGCAUGGUACCGUGUGAAAAACUCCGGUGGUAUGAGAUGGACCCGCGUCUGAUUAGCUAGUUGGUGGGAUAACGGCCUACCAAGGCGACGAUCAGUAGCCGACCUGAGAGGGUGACCGGCCACAUUGGGACUGAGACACGGCCCAAACUCCUACGGGAGGCAGCAGUGGGGAAUAUUGCACAAUGGGGGAAACCCUGAUGCAGCAACGCCGCGUGAGUGAAGAAGUAUUUCGGUAUGUAAAGCUCUAUCAGCAGGGAAGAAAAUGACGGUACCUGACUAAGAAGCCCCGGCUAACUACGUGCCAGCAGCCGCGGUAAUACGUAGGGGGCAAGCGUUAUCCGGAUUUACUGGGUGUAAAGGGAGCGUAGACGGCGAGACAAGUCUGAAGUGAAAGCCCGGGGCUCAACCCCGGGACUGCUUUGGAAACUGCCUUGCUAGAGUGCUGGAGAGGUAAGUGGAAUUCCUAGUGUAGCGGUGAAAUGCGUAGAUAUUAGGAGGAACACCAGUGGCGAAGGCGGCUUGCUGGACGACAACUGACGCUGAGGCGCGAAAGCGUGGGGAGCAAACAGGAUUAGAUACCCUGGUAGUCCACGCUGUAAACGAUGAAUACUAGGUGUGGGAGGACUGACCCCU